rnacentral:misc_RNA from 1 species
GCGGGUAACUAUAAUGCCCAAGGACAUUCAGCUGGCUAGGCGUAUCCGUGGUGAACGUGCCUAGAUGUUUUUUUCACUUGCCUUGGCUUAUUAGGUUAGGGAAUGGAGUUCCUUUUCUCGCUUGGCUGCUUUAUAGAAUUUCGAAGUUAGAUAAGGAGUUGAAAAUCUUAUUGAUAUCAUUAGAAUUUUUAUGAAAUUUAUCUCUCUGGAUGAUCUUCAAAACUCCCAAUGCCAAUAUUUUUCAACUCUUCUUCCACAAGAUUAGAGAUUUCAUAUUUUUAUUAGAAAGAUAUUUCCUAAAUCAGUAUCCUAUUUACUAUGUUGGGAAAUUCUGAGGUCUUUCCCUUGUUUGUAAUCAUCUCUCACCUAACGGCUGCUUGUUUCUUGUUAACAAACGGAAAGAAUUGUUUUUA